CACCGCCCGUCGCUACUACCGAUUGAAUGGCUCAGUGAGGCCUUCGGACUGGCUCAGGGAGGUCGGCAACGACCACCCAGAGCCGGAAAGUUGGUCAAACUCGGUCAUUUAGAGGAAGUAAAAGUCGUAACAAGGUCUCCGUAGGUGAACCUGCGGAGGGAUCAUUA
rnacentral:rRNA from 6 species